rnacentral:rRNA from 1 species
CGGGUGAGUAAUGUAUGGGGAUCUGCCUGAUGGGGGGGGAGUAACUACUGGAAACGGUAGCUAAUACCGCAUAAUGUCUGCGGACCAAAGCGGGGGACCUCCGGGCCUCGCGCCAUCAGAUGAACCCAUAUGGGAUUAGCUAGUAGGUAAAGUAACGGCUUACCUAGGCGACGAUCCCUAGCUGGUCUGAGAGGAUGAUCAGCCACACUGGGACUGAGACACGGCCCAG